rnacentral:rRNA from 1 species
AUUGAACGCUGGCGGCAUGCCUUACACAUGCAAGUCGAACGGCAGCACGGGUGCUUGCACCUGGUGGCGAGUGGCGAACGGGUGAGUAAUACAUCGGAACGUACCUUAUCGUGGGGGAUAACGCAGCGAAAGCUGUGCUAAUACCGCAUACGCCCUGAGGGGGAAAGCGGGGGAUCGCAAGACCUCGCGCGAUUAGAGCGGCCGAUGCCUGAUUAGCUUGUUGGUGGGGUAAAAGCCCACCAAGGCGACGAUCAGUAGCUGGUCUGAGAGGAUGGUCAGCCACGCUGGGACUGAGACACGGCCCAGACUCCUACGGGAGGCAGCAGUGGGGAAUUUUGGACAAUGGGGGCAACCCUGAUCCAGCAAUGCCGCGUGAGUGAAGAAGGCCUUCGGGUUGUAAAGCUCUUUUGUCAGGGAAGAAACACCGGCUCUAACACAGUCCGGGAAUGACGGUACCUGAAGAAUAAGCACCGGCUAACUACGUGCCAGCCGCCGCCGUAA